rnacentral:rRNA from 1 species
AUUUUAUAAUUAAAGGGCUGCAGUAUAUUGACUGUACAAAGGUAGCAUAAUCAUUAGUCAUUUAAUUGAUGACUAGUAUGAAGGAUUGGAUGAAAUAUAAACUGUCUCUUAAUUAUUGAAUAGAAUUUAAUUUUUUAAUUAAAAAGUUAAAAUAUAUUAAAAAGACGAGAAGACCCUAUAGAUUUUUAUAAAAAAUUUAGUUAAUAUUAUUUAUGAAAAAUUAAAAUUAAAAUUAAAUUUAUUUAUUGUAUUGGGGUGAUAGAAAAAUAUAAAAAACUUUUUAUAUAUUAAAACAUUUAUAAGUGGUUAAAUGAUCCAAUAUUAUUGAUUAUAAGAAAAAAUUACCUUAGGGAUAACAGCGUAAUUUUUUUUUUUAGUUCGUAUAAGAAAAAGAGUUUGCGACCUCGAUGUUGGAUUAAGAUAAAAUUUAAAUGCAGAAG